rnacentral:rRNA from 1 species
AGCAAUCCCCCGGUAGGGUGGCGAACGGGUGAGUAAGACAUGGGAAUCUGUCCCGGAGAUGGGGAUAUCCUUCCGAAAGGAGGGUUAAUACCGAAUACCGUCCGGUGGACGAGAGUCCAUCGGGGAAAGGGAGGCCUCUGGCAACAUGCUUCCGCUCCGGGAGGAGCCCAUGGCCCAUCAGCUAGUUGGGAGGGUAACAGCCUACCAAGGCGAAGACGGGUAGCUGGUCUGAGAGGACGAUCAGCCACACUGGCACUGAGACACGGGCCAGACUCCUACGGGAGGCAGCAGUGAGGAAUUUUGCGCAAUGGGGGCAACCCUGACGCAGCAACGCCGCGUGUGGGAAGAAGGCUUUCGGGUUGUAAACCACUUUUGUAAGGGACGAAGUCCCUUCGGCAAAUAACCGAGGGGGAUGACGGUACCUUGCGAAUAAGCCACGGCUAACUCUGUGCCAGCAGCCGCGGUAAGACAGGGGUGGCAAGCGUUGUUCGGAGUAACUGGGCGUAAAGGGUCUGUAGGUGGUUUUUCAAGUCUUUGGUAAAACGCCGUGGCUCAACCAUGGUUUGGCCAAGGAGACUGGGAGACUCGAGGCUGGGAGAGGGAAGCGGAAUUUCUGGUGUAGCGGUGAAAUGCGUAGAGAUCAGAAAGAAGGCCGGUGGCGAAGGCGGCUUCCUGGAACAGACCUGACACUGAGAGACGAAAGCGUGGGGAGCAAACAGGAUUAGAUACCCUGGUAGUCCACGCCCUAAACGAUGGGAACUAAGUGUGGGGAGCAAUCCCCGUGCCGCAGCUAACGCAAUAAGUUCCCCGCCUGGGGAGCACGGCCGCAAGGUUGAAACUCAAAGGAAUUGACGGGGGCCCGCACAAGCGGUGGUGCAUGUGGUUUAAUUCGACG